GCCACACCUUGAAGAUGAAUGAUAGGGAGGCCCAAGAGAUCACUAUCUUGCCAUAAUAAAAGAGCUAUCACCUUGCAUCUGCCACCUCCUCUAAGGCUCAGGGCAAUUUGCAGAAGAAAUGGCAGAAAGCUUGUAAGAGCUGGAGGAAAGUGGAGGCAUGUAACCCAGCAAUUACUCAUUCCUCUGAAAAGUGUGAGUGAGCAUGAACAGCUCAGGGAAUCCUGGGAAAGAGGGGUGGAGCUUAGCUGAGCCGCUACUGAGAGUUAGUGGAGAUGUCACAGGAUUGAGGGUGGUUGGAUGGAGACUUAGCAGCAGGAGAUUGGAACAAAGAAAUCGUGGGUAGGGCCACUGGGGCGAAUGGCAGCAGGCCACGGGAUAUGGACAUGUGAUGGGACACUUAAGACCAUGGGCGUAGUGCAUGAGAGCUAAUGGAUACUGCAGGUGGAGCUUGAAUGAUGCCAUCUCUUUUUAAGUGAUUCUCUCCCUAUCAUAUAAACCAUGUGAAACCCAAGAUAAAAACGUGUUACAAGAUAAAACUGUGUUGUGCUGGUUUUGUCCAUCCAUGUCAGGAUCAUGAGACCCUGAGUGAGUCACGGUGGGUCAAACAGAGAGUGGGAAGGGGAAAAUUGACUGCAACAGUCCAAUAUACCAGGCUUGAGUCCCAAGAGGGCAGUUUUAUGCUCAAUCAUCACUUUAUUUCUCAGUCAGCCCCUGACAUCAGGAAAAAGCUUAAGCACCUGGAGCAGGGACCCAAGACCCCCCCCCCCAGAGAGAUCUGUUAGAAAUGGCAUUUAAAGCUUAUAAUAACUGAGAGGAUCAGGAGAUGGCAGACAAUGUCACCUGUGACAGGCAGAAAUACCAGCUAUUGGCCGCUGUCCUAAAAGGCUCCUUCAAAGAAGACUGUAGACACGACUGGGGUGGAACAACCACCGCCUGGACCCUGCUUCAGAUAUGGACACACUGGACAUUGAGCUAAGCUGUGCCCCAACCCUCGCCUGCCUCCUGGACCUUGUCCACAAUGUGGCCAGUGGGGAACACUGUAUGGUUGAUUGCCCUUCUUUGCUGUGUAGGUCAACUGCCUUCCUGACCCCACUUGCUUUUCAGGGACCUAUGAACGACCUUCUGGGCCUGGCAGCAGAGAUUGAUGAGGCCCCGGCCCCUCAGCCCCCACCUCAUCGCUAACCAUCACUAUGGAGGAGCCCAAGCCUUCAUCUCCAAGGUGUCCCAGGUGGUGUCUCACUCCCUGAAAAUAACCUGGAAACUACUUAUUCCCUACCACCCUCAGUCAUCAGAACAAAAUUGGUGGAUCCCAUAGAUGACUGCCCCUUAAUCCAAAACCUCAUACCAUGAGCUUGUCCAGGAUUUGAAAAUCUCCUGCUGGUGUUUGAAGACCCUCACCCAAGCACAACCAAGGGAACUAAGACAUAGAGAAGAUGUUAUUACUGCAGUAGCAUCCUGGCAGACACUCACAGGAUUCACCAGUGUUCCUCAGGGGGUUGUGACAGAGGAGGCAAGUGACUGACCUCUGAACUUGACAAGAAGUUUCUUAGACUCCAGUCAAAUCACCUGCCAUCGUACACCUGGACAAAGGUGGCAGAGAAAAACCAUCAGCAAAGCCUGCAGAGGAUGCUGGCAAACAGUCCCUAUGAUGAUAGCACCAGGGCAGCUUCUGUGGCUCCCCGAGCCCUGACUAGAAGCCACUUACCCCUCGCCCUUCCUGCCUUGCUUCUCCCACCUGUCAACUUUAUUCCUCUUGAAAGCCAGUUCUGCAGAGGUGAUUUCGUCUGUCCCCUUUUCCUGUCCCACUGUGUUUGCAGCCCCCUGAAUGCUGGGACUGAAGGCAUGUGCCACUAGGCCCACCUUAGGCCUUGGAUUUGAAGUGUAGUAUUCUUCAAAUUCCAUGCAUCUUUUUCUUUAGAAAAAUAUUCCUUGUAGUGGAAUUGCUAGUUCACAAUGUUUGCAUAUUUUUGUAAAUUUGUCUUGAUAUCUAUCACCAAAUUGCCUGCCAAAAGUACAAGUUUAGAUGUCUCCUUAGUAUAUUUCUCCUUAUCUGAGUCUCUUUUCUGAAAUUGUGUCAUACAAUUUAUUUUAAAGAAAUUGUGUGGAAAAACAGAGGAGUACAAAAAAAGGAGAAUUAUGUACUAAGUAUGAAAUACAGGAUAGAUUGUAAGAAAGAUCUUAAGAAGUUCUCAGCACAUUGUGAAAUCUAUGGUACAUUAAAAUUUUUAU